rnacentral:tmRNA from 1 species
GGGGGUGCGUUGGUUUCGACUGGCGUAUGGUUGUGCCGACAGUUGCAGGCGGAGCGCUAACUCCGAAAACUGGCAAAACACAAAACUGCCAAGAAAGAAGACGAAGUCUCCUUCGAUGCAGAAUACGCUCUCGCUGCCUAAGCAGUGAGUCCGUACAGGUACUUGGAGUGCCGCCCUUAACGCCAAGUAUCCUGUAAACAACAAGGGCUUACCCGAAGGAAUGCCGAUGGCCCGAGGGGACAAUUCAGUCGGCUCAGAAACCACUACGUCGGCCGCUGGCCCGAAGGGUUUCGAAUACACGAACAGCGGCUAAGCUUGUAGACGCUGUCGGGCGGCACGUUAGGACGGGGGUUCGACUCCCCCCACCUCCAACA